rnacentral:rRNA from 1 species
UAGGGAAUCUUCGGCAAUGGACGAAAGUCUGACCGAGCAACGCCGCGUGAGUGAAGAAGGUUUUCGGAUCGUAAAACUCUGUUGUUAGAGAAGAACAAGGACGUUAGUAACUGUACGUCCCCUGACGGUAUCUAACCAGAAAGCCACGGCUAACUACGUGCCAGCAGCCGCGGUAAUACGUAGGUGGCAAGCGUUGUUCGGAUUUAUUGGGCGUAAAGCGAGCGCAGGCGGUUUCUUAAGUCUGAUGUGAAAGCCCCCGGCUCAACCGGGGAGAGUCAUUGGAAACUGGGGGACUUGAGUGCAGAAGAGGAGAGUGGAAUUCCAUGUGUAGCGGUGAAAUGCGUAGAUAUAUGGAGGAACACCAGUGGCGAAGGCGGCUCUCUGGUCUGUAACUGACGCUGAGGCUCGAAAGCGUGGGGAGCAAACAGG